AAUGAGAAAGGUAAAGAUCAGAAAGGUUGCAGCACAACUCUAAAGCCACUGCUCUUAACUAGGAUUGUCAGGAAAGCAAGAUUAUUUCAGACAGAACAGUAUUGUAUAUGAACAAGGGUGAGAGCAAAUUUAGGAAUGGUUACUAGACCGCUGUAGCUGACCCACAAACCUGGGGAGAAGUGAUAAUAGAGGUUAAGUACUUCUGUGCUUCAGAAAGAUAACCUAUGACUAAAUGGAGAGGCUAGAUUGAAGAGAGGAAUAAAGAAGAUUCAGUGGCUGCAGUGUAUGAACUAUUUGUGACAUUGGUCUGAAACUAAUUUGUCAGCACCAAAGACAGCAUAAGAGCCAUCAGUCCUUCAGCCUCUCCUGGAUCUCUUUUUGAGAUAGGAAGAGCCACAUGUUUUAUAGGCUGUGGUUUAAUUAGCAGGCGCAAUCCAUCUGCCAAAGUUGGCAGGCAUCUUUAGGGAAAAUAACUUCCUCCUGUGGCUUCUCCUUCCUUCUGUUCUGGAAGCAUCAGGAUUGUUGCAGUUUUGCAGGCCUUCUGCAUAGCUGUUAAUAUCACAUGCCAUCAUUCAAAGCAAAUGGAAAAAAGGCCUGGCAUGACUGAAACCCUAAAAUUGAAGUGGAUGCUAAGUGAAUUCAAGACAUCUCUUCUUUACUCCUUUGGUUUUCAAGUAACUCCAAGCAUGAGAGGGGCUAAUGAAUACGGCAAAUCAGAGCCCCACCCUUCUCAGAAAAGGAGGAAGUGAAAGAAAGGCAGCAAUAAAGGUAGAUGGAGGGAAAGGAACUGUGAUUAUGGUUCUGAAGCGAUUUUUACUCAGAAUAUGUAAACUAGAACAGCACAGUGUUUUCUCCUUUUCUACAUCUCAGCCUACUCCACUUCAAAAAGCUCUCGUGAAGGUAAGGUGCUACUCUUUUGUUCUUAUACAUUAGAGACGUUAUUUAACAAACAUUUAUUUAACAUGUGCUACACAGACAAAAUUGUAGCAUUCUAAA